rnacentral:rRNA from 1 species
UGGAGAGUUUGAUCCUGGCUCAGAACGAACGCUGGCGGCAGGCUUAACACAUGCAAGUCGAGCGCGUAGCAAUACGAGCGGCAGACGGGUGAGUAACGCGUGGGAAUCUACCCAACCCUACGGAAUAACGCAUGGAAACGUGUGCUAAUACCGUAUACGCCCUUAGGGGGAAAGAUUUAUCGGGGAUGGAUGAGCCCGCGUUGGAUUAGCUAGUUGGUGGGGUAAAGGCCUACCAAGGCGACGAUCCAUAGCUGGUCUGAGAGGAUGAUCAGCCACAUUGGGACUGAGACACGGCCCAAACUCCUACGGGAGGCAGCAGUGGGGAAUAUUGGACAAUGGGCGCAAGCCUGAUCCAGCCAUGCCGCGUGAGUGAUGAAGGCCUUAGGGUUGUAAAGCUCUUUCACCGGUGAAGAUAAUGACGGUAACCGGAGAAGAAGCCCCGGCUAACUUCGUGCCAGCAGCCGCGGUA